GACGAACGCUGGCGGCGUGCUUAACACAUGCAAGUCGAACGCUGAAGCUCAGCUUUUGUUGGGUGGAUGAGUGGCGAACGGGUGAGUAACACGUGAGUGACCUGCCUCCUUCUUUGGGAUAACGCCCGGAAACGGGUGCUAAUACUGGAUAUUCACUGGUCUUCGCAUGGGGGUUGGUGGAAAGGGUUUUUCUGGUGGGGGAUGGGCUCGCGGCCUAUCAGCUUGUUGGUGGGGUGAUGGCCUACCAAGGCUUUGACGGGUAGCCGGCCUGAGAGGGUGACCGGUCACAUUGGGACUGAGAUACGGCCCAGACUCCUACGGGAGGCAGCAGUGGGGAAUAUUGCACAAUGGGCGCAAGCCUGAUGCAGCGACGCCGCGUGAGGGAUGGAGGCCUUCGGGUUGUGAACCUCUUUCGCUCAUGGUCAAGCCGCAACAAUGGUUGUGGUGAGGGUAGUGGGUAAAGAAGCGCCGGCUAACUACGUG
rnacentral:rRNA from 1 species